GAAGCUGACCAGACAGUCGCCGCUUCGUCGUCGUCCUCUUCGGGGGAGACGGGCGGAGGGGAGGAAAGUCCGGGCUCCAUAGGGCAGGGUGCCAGGUAACGCCUGGGGGGGAAACCCACGACCAGUGCAACAGAGAGCAAACCGCCGAUGGCCCACGUAAGUGGGAUCAGGUAAGGGUGAAAGGGUGCGGUACGGCCCGUACUGAACCCGGGUAGGCUGCUUGAGCCAGUGAGCGAUUGCUGGCCUAGAUGAAUGACUGUCCACGACAGAACCCGGCUUAUCGGUCAGCUUCACUC
rnacentral:RNase_P_RNA from 1 species